GACAGAGGCCUCAAGCGUUAGGCGGAAUCACUGGGCUUAAAGCGUGUGUAGGCGGAUCGUUAAGUACCUUGUGAAAUCCCACGGCUCACCCGUGGAACUGCUGGGUAUACUGGCGAUCUUGGGCCAACUAGGGGCAGCUGGAACAAGCGGUGGAGCGGUGAGAUGCGUAGAUAUCGCUUGGAACGCCAAAGGUGAAAACAGGCUGCUGGGGUUGUGCCGACGCUGAGACACGAAAGCCAGGGGAGCAAACGGG
rnacentral:rRNA from 1 species